AGCAGAACGAAACAGAGAAGAGAGAAAGAAGAAAAAGAAAGAGAGCGACGGUUCAGGGGUUCAAAAUUUCUAAAUUUAAUUGCUAAUGUCGUGUACGAGUCAUUGUCCGAGAAAGGAAAGGAGAAGGUGGACAAGGAUUGACUCGAGAGAAAUUUCGGUUAGUAGAAAUCCAGUGUUCGGUCCAGCAUCCAGAGUAAUCCCGACCUCAGAGAAAUUUAGCGAUGUACCUUUCUUUUGAUAACGUGGCAUGUACCUAAGUAAUGUUUAUACCUAAGUGAUGUAUAGGGAUUAGUCAUUUUGAAUGUUUUUAUCUAUGAUAUUGCUAAAGGAAGAUGUGUGAGUAUGUGAUAAUGUUUGGUAAUAUGUAUAUUUAGAUGAUAAAUCAUGCAUGGAAAUCAUGAAAGAGUAAAAGUUUGCAAAUAAACAGAUUUCAAGCAGCUACAGUAAUGUGACUUUGAAAAAUCACCUAGGAUAGUAUAAAAUUAAUUAGAGGGUGAAUGAUAUAUGGAAUUAAAGCUUGUUGAGUCUAUUUUCAUGGAAAAAUAACGGUUUAACAAAAGAAAUUUUAUAUUUUGAGAUAUGAGAACUUUAGUGAGACAGGGUCAGAACUGUU